rnacentral:lncRNA from 1 species
AGAAGAAGAAAUGGUGCUCAUUUUUUAAGACCAGAACAUCGAAAGUGUCUCCAUUCAACUGCCUUGAAACUUGCCUGAACCGUGGUUCUCUGUUUUCUCCUCCAUGUCUGGUUUUUGCCCAAGGGAAGACCACAAUUUGGGAUAACCUCUGCUCUCCAACAGACUUGUCAUGUGUGGGGAUGGUAUCUCUGAGCUUGUGCCUCUGUAAGGCCACGCACUCUACUGUGCUGAGUCCAAGAGAAGACUUCCAAGUGAUUGCCAGGGAGAGGGUGGUGACGAGGCAGUAGCCGUGAGGCAAGGCGAGCAUUGGGGAUGUUGUGAGCAGGACAUGGGAGAGCAAUGAUGCCAGACUGAGCACACUAAGCAGAUGAGUGUCAUGGGGAAAGGUACGUGAUGGUGUAAUAGCUGUCUGUGUAAUGGAAGGCUGGAUGGGUACAAGCAAUGAAAUUGGAAAUCAAUCCCAAAUCCUGCUGAAUCCAGGAGACCUUCACACCCAUGAAGGCACUGCUGCUGAGUCGGGCCAAUGGCUGUGUGCACACCCAAGAAAUACACACGUGCUGAUAGAAAACAGAUUUAAAAGGUACCUAAAAUAA